UACGGGGGGGGCAAGCGUUGUUCGGAAUUACUGGGCGGAAAGGGCUCGUAGGUGGCCAACUAAGUCAGACGUGAAAUCCCCAGGCUUAACCUGGGAACUGCGUCUGAUACUGGAUGGCUUGAAUUCGGGAGAGGGAUGCAGAAUUCCAGGUGUAGCGGUGAAAUGCGUAGAUAUCUGGAGGAAUACCGGUGGCGAAGGCGGCAUCCUGGACCGAGAUUGACACUGAUGAGCGAAAGCUAGGGGAGCAAACGGG
rnacentral:rRNA from 1 species